rnacentral:lncRNA from 1 species
CAAAAAUCUAAGUCUUGUUGAUGAGAAUGGCGAUGUUGUCUCGAACACUGCUGAUGCCUUUGUAGAACAUUUCUGUUGUGUAAUUGGUGUAAAAUA